AGGCCUUUACUGACGCUAAAGCUCGAAGGUGCGGGUAUCGAACAGGAUUAGAUACCCUGGUAGUCCGCACGGUAAACGAUGGAUGCCCGCUGUUGGCGAUAUACAGUCAGCGGCCAAGAGAAAUCGUUAAGCAUCCCACCUGGGGAGUACGCCGGCAACGGUGAAACUCAAAGGAAUUGACGGGGGCCCGCACAAGCGGAGGAACAUGUGGUUUAAUUCGAUGAUACGCGAGGAACCUUACCCGGGCUUGAACUGCACAGGAAGGAUACAGAGAUGUUGACGCCCUUCGGGGCCUGUGUGGAGGUGCUGCAUGGUUGUCGUCAGCUCGUGCCGUGAGGUGUCGGCUUAAGUGCCAUAACGAGCGCAACCCUUUUCAUCAGUUGCCAUCAGGUGGUGCUGGGCACUCUGUUGAUACUGCCACCGUAAGGUGUGAGGAAGGUGGGGAUGACGUCAAAUCAGCACGGCCCUUACGUCCGGGGCUACACACGUGUUACAAUGGGGCAUACAGAAGGCGGGAUCAUGGCAACAUGGUUCAAAUCUUUAAAGUGCUCCUCAGUUCGGAUUGGGGUCUGCAACCCGACCCCAUGAAGCUGGAUUCGCU
rnacentral:rRNA from 1 species